UUCGCCUUGUGCCAGCAGCCGCGKUAAUACGUAGGACCUAAGCGUUAUCCGGAAUCACUGGGCGUAAAGCGAUCGAAGGCGGACCAGUAAGUCUGAUGUUAAAUACCCACGGCUCAACCGGGGUGCUGCGUUGGAAACUGCUGGCCUAGAGUAAGACAGAGGUAGCUGGAAUUCUUGUUGUAGGGGUUAAAUCCGUAGAUAACAAGAGGAACACCAAAAGCGAAGGCAUGCUACUGGGUCUUUACUGACGCUGCGCGAUCGAAAGCGUGGGGAGCGAAAGGGAUUAGAUACCCCUGUAGUCCACGCCGUAAACGAUGAAUGCUCGGCGUUCGAUUUUUAAUCGAUUGAGUGCCUAAGCUAACGCGUUAAGCAUUCCGCCUGAAGAGUACGACCGCAAGGUUAAAACUCAAAGGAAUAGACGGGGAUCCACACAAGCGGUGGAGCAUGUGGUUUAAUUCGACAAUAAGCGGGGAACCUUACCAGGACUUGACAUCUUCGGAAUUUGCUGGAAACAGCGAAGUGCCUUCGGGAACCGAAUGACAGGUGUUGCAUGGUUGUCGUCAGCUCGUGCCUUGAGGUGUUCGGUUAAGUCCGUUAACGAGCGCAACCCUCGCCGUAUGUUGUAUUGUUCAUACGGGACUGCCGGUUUUACACCGGAGGAAGGUGAGGAUGACGUCAAAUCAGCAUGGCCCUUAUGUCCUGGGCGACACACGUGCUACAAUGGUCGGUACAAAGGGCAGCAAAGCGGUAACGUGGAGCAAAUCCCAAAAAGCCGAUCUUAGUUCGGAUUGAGGGCUGCAACCCGCCCUCAUGAAGCUGGAAUCGCUAGUAACCGUAGAUCAGCCAUGCUACGGUGAAUAUGUUCCUGGAUCUUAUACUCACCGCCCGUCAAGGGCGAAU
rnacentral:rRNA from 1 species